GUGUUCAUUUCGGCGGCACAUAUACUAAAAUUUGAACGAUACCAAGAAGAUAAGCAUGGCUCCUGUGCAAGGAUAACACGUAAAAUCAUGAAGUGUUCCAUAUUUUC
rnacentral:snRNA from 1 species